GGGAUGGCCAAGUGGUUAAAGCAUUGGACUUAAGAUCCAUGUGGGUUCAAACCCCACUCUC
rnacentral:tRNA from 1 species